GAUGAACGCUGGCGGCGUGCCUAAUACAUGCAAGUCGAGCGAACGGACGAGAAGCUUGCUUCUCUGAUGUUAGCGGCGGACGGGUGAGUAACACGUGGAUAACCUACCUAUAAGACUGGGAUAACUUCGGGAAACCGGAGCUAAUACCGGAUAAUAUUUUGAACCGCAUGGUUCAAAAGUGAAAGACGGUCUUGCUGUCACUUAUAGAUGGAUCCGCGCUGCAUUAGCUAGUUGGUAAGGUAACGGCUUACCAAGGCAACGAUGCAUAGCCGACCUGAGAGGGUGCUCGGCCACCCUGGAACUGAGACACGGUCCAGACUCCUACGGGAGGCAGCAGUAGGGAAUCUUCCGCAAUGGGCGAAAGCCUGACGGAGCAACGCCGCGUGAGUGAUGAAGGUCUUCGGAUCGUAAAACUCUGUUAUUAGGGAAGAACAUAUGUGUAAGUAACUGUGCACAUCUUGACGGUACCUAAUCAGAAAGCCACGGCUAACUACGUG
rnacentral:rRNA from 1 species